UCCAGCAAACCACAGUGAGAGCCGUUAUCCGGAAAUGUUGAAAACAUGGAACCGUGGUGAACCUUCCCAGGAGUGUGCGUCCAAACAACAGCUACGGCUCAUUGAAGAGGUCACAAAAGACCCCACAACGACAUCCAAAGAACUCCAGGCUUCACUUGCUUCAGUUAAGACCCCGCUGAUCGCCGUGGGACUAGAAGGGGCGGCAGUGGCGGCGUUCCUGAUAUUCCAGGCGGAGUGACUUGAGUCCAAGUGUCAGGAGGUGGACGAGCUCCUUUUCCUUCUGGAACACGCUUUGGGGGCGUCAUUUAGACCGCCGCCAUCGCCAACGUCGCCGCCAUCGUCGCCUAGCACUAAUGACGGUAACAAAGCAGCUAAUUGGAGCAACAAAGUUGGACUCUGGAAACUUUUGGUAUGAUGUGAUGAUCCGUGCUACGCUGGUCUUGUUGGUAAAGAUGGAGGCCAUGGGUGGAGACACGUUGGACGACCAUCCAGACAGGAAGUUGAAAUAUUAUCACGGGACGCUACGUGAAAGCGGGCGGAAGGAUCUCUGCGCCACGAGGCCGGGUCACGACUCUGCAACACGAGGGCGCCACAGUGGUGCACGGCGACACGAACCACUUUGACUCUCCGCCGAGUGACAAAGCGCUAUUAAAGUAUCACCCCCCCAUGCCCCCCCGCCCGACCACCCGCCCCCCCUGGAUCUCAGAUCUUCUGGGGGCUAAGACCUUCUAGUGCUGACACACGAAGACACGCCCUGGACACUCGCUGAACUGGACCAAGUCUCAGGGAAGCAUCAGGAGGGUGCUUGUUCGCCAGAUGUGCUCCUCAAGUCAAGUGGUACAACAUCUUCAUGUUGUGAGGAAAAAAAGGCUGGCUUGCAAAACUACAUUAAAGGCCGUUGGCAUCGAACCUGAGGAACGUGAGUGCAGAAGCUGGUCAUUUUCUUGCAACAAAUCGGGAUUUAUGAUUUUGGUAUGUUUAUCAUGUUUAUGCAGUACUUUGGUACUUACAGUAUACCGUUGGGUUGGACCAUUUAGAGAGACAAUUUAGAUUCACAAUUUCAUACUUUCUAGAACUGGAAACAUUAUUAAAUUCAAAUAUUCAAACAUUUGGACACUCCCGAUUUCCUCUGUUUGGACCAGUCCGGAUACAAACAAUUGCAAUGCCAGUGCCGGAGAGAACGGUCAGCCCACCAACCAAGGUUUGGCAAAGUCAAAGCGGUCUCUAAUACGAAGAAUUUGUCCCCUCCCAAUGUACUUGGUUGCAAGGUUCCUCUGUUUGGACCAGUCCGGAUACAAACAAUUGCAAUGCCAGUGCCGGAGAGAACGGUCAGCCCCCCAACCAAGGUUUGGCAAAGUCAAAGCGGUCUCUAAUAUGAAGAACUUGUCCCCUCCCAAUGUACUUGGUUGCAAGGUUCCUCUGUUUGGACCAGUCCAGACACAAACAAUUGCAAUGCCAGUGCCGGAGACCAACGGUCAGCCCACCAACCAAGGUUUGGCAAAGUCAAAGCGGUCUUGGUUGCUAGGUUCCUCUGUUUGGAUCAGCCCAGAUUCAAGCAAUUGCAAUGCCGGCGCUGGAGAGAACGGUCAGUCCACCAACCAAGGUUUGGCAAAGUCAAAGCGGUCUCUAAUAUGAAGAAUUUGUUCCCUCCCAAAGUACUUGGUUGCUUGGUUCCUCUGUUUGGAUCAGUCCAGAUUC